rnacentral:rRNA from 1 species
AUUGAACGCCGGCGGCAGGCCUAACACAUGCAAGUCGAAUGGUAACAGGAAACAGCUUGCUGUUUCGCUGACGAGUGGCGGACGGGUGAGUAAUGUCUGGGAAACUGCCUGAUGGAGGGGGAUAACUACUGGAAACGGUAGCUAAUACCGCAUAACGUCGCAAGACCAAAGAGGGGGACCUUCGGGCCUCUUGCCAUCAGAUGUGCCCAGAUGGGAUUAGCUAGUAGGUGGGGUAACGGCUCACCUAGGCGACGAUCCCUAGCUGGUCUGAGAGGAUGACCAGCCACACUGGAACUGAGACACGGUCCAGACUCCUACGGGAGGCAGCAGUGGGGAAUAUUGCACAAUGGGCGCAAGCCUGAUGCAGCCAUGCCGCGUGUAUGAAGAAGGCCUUCGGGUUGUAAAGUACUUUCAGCGGGGAGGAAGGGAGUAAAGUUAAUACCUUUGCUCAUUGACGUUACCCGCAGAAGAAGCACCGGCUAACUCCGUG